GUAUCGGGGAUGCUGGAACCUGCGGUUGAGUGAGAAACCGGCGCCACCGCCUGCGUCUUGGUCUCGGGCUGGUGGCCAGCGGGGUCUGGGCGUGGUUUUACCCAGCUCCUUUGCGAAGCUGCUGUCCUUUCCUCAACGUUACCACCCGGCUGGGCAGCCUACCCUCGCAGCAACAGGUGUGCACCUUCCAAGCUUGCAACAGACCACAUUCAGAAGCUUGAUUUCUUGUUGUUCUGGGAAUAUCUGGAUCAGAGACCUUGCUGUCACCACUACUCCGGGACCUGGAAGUUAAAGCGAGGGAGAGACGGUGAAACACAGAAAGCAGAACGCCUUCUGUUCUUCCACAACACAGGGUUUGUGGACGUGGCCACUAUAAGAACUCGCACUGCGUGCUGAUUAUACUCCUCAGCACAAUUCAUUUCUUAAACUUUUUAGAAUAAUUUAAAAUUUACAAAAAGUUGCAAAAAUAAAAACCAGUAAACUUUU
rnacentral:lncRNA from 1 species